AUUGAACGCUGGCGGCAGGCCUAACACAUGCAAGUCGAACGAGUGGCGGACGGGUGAGUAAUGUCUGGGAAACUGCCCGAUGGAGGGGGAUACCUACUGGAAACGGUAGCUCAUACCGCAUACCAUCGGAUGUGCCCAGCUGGGAUUAGCUAGUAGGUGGGGUAACGGCUCACCUAGGCGACGAUCCAUAGCUGGUCUGAGAGGAUGACCAGCCAAACUGGAACGUAGACACGGUCCAGACACCUACGGGAGGCAGCAGGGGGGAAUAUUGCACACGGGGCGAAAGCCUGAUGCAGCCAUGCCGCGUGUAUGAAGAAGGCCUUCGGGUUGUAAAGUACUUUCAGCGAGGAGGCGUUACUCGCAGAAGAAGCACCGGCUAACUCCGUGCCAGCAGCCGCGGUAAUUC
rnacentral:rRNA from 1 species